rnacentral:rRNA from 1 species
UACGUAGGGUGCGAGCGUUAAUCGGAAUUACUGGGCGUAAAGCGUGCGCAGGCGGUGAUGUAAGACAGGUGUGAAAUCCCCGGGCUUAACCUGGGAACUGCAUUUGUGACUGCAUCGCUGGAGUGCGGCAGAGGGGGAUGGAAUUCCGCGUGUAGCAGUGAAAUGCGUAGAUAUGCGGAGGAACACCGAUGGCGAAGGCAAUCCCCUGGGCCUGCACUGACGCUCAUGCACGAAAGCUGGGGGAGCAAACAGG